AUGUGUUCAUUCACAGUUCCUCCGGUCGUGCUGCAGCUGUUCCUGCUGCUCUUCUUAGCCUCUCCCGCCAAUGCAUGCACCGAGCAGGAGAAGCGCAACCUCCUCCAGUUCCUUGCCGGGCUGUCGAGUGAUGGUGGCCUCGCCACGUCUUGGCGUAAUAACGGCACGGACUGCUGCGAGUGGGAAGGCAUCUCCUGCAAUGGAGAUGGGGCCGUCACUGGGGUCUCCCUGGAGUCUAAAGGACUUGAAGGGCCCAUCUCUCCGUUCCUCACCAACCUCACCAGCCUGCUGCGCGUCAACCUCUCGCACAACUCGCUCUCCGGUGGUCUUCCGGCGGAGCUCAUGUUCUCCAGAAGCAUCAUCGUCCUCGAUGUCAGCUUCAGCCGGCUCAACGGACCACUGCCCGAGCUUCCGUCCUUGGUUACCACUGACCGGCCUCUGCAGGUACUCAACAUCUCAAGCAACCAGUUCGGCUCAGAAUUUCCAUCAGCCACAUGGAAGGUGAUGAAGAAUCUUAUCGCGCUCAACACCAGCAAUAACAGCUUCACUGGGCACAUACCGUCUUCUCUUUGCGUUGUUCUUUGGCUUUGCUUGACCUCUCCUACAACCAAUUGA
rnacentral:rRNA from 1 species